GGAGAGAUAGCUCAAUGGUUAAGAGCACUGGCUUCUCUUCCAGAGGACCUGGGUUCAAUUCCCAACGCCU
rnacentral:tRNA from 1 species